rnacentral:rRNA from 1 species
AAUCAACGCUGGCGGCGUGCCUCAGACAUGCAAGUCGAACGAUUAAAGCUCUCUUCGGAGAGUGCAUAGAGUGGCGCACGGGUGAGUAACACGUAAGUAAUCUACCUUCGAGUGGGGAAUAACGUCCGGAAACGGACGCUAAUACCGCAUAAUGCAGCGGCAUCAUAAGAUGACAGUUGUUAAAGGAGCAAUUCGCUUGAAGAGGAGCUUGCGGCAGAUUAGCUAGUUGGUAAGGUAAUGGCUUACCAAGGCUACGAUCUGUAACCGGUCUAAGAGGACGGUCGGUCACACUGACACUGAAUAACGGGUCAGACUCCUACGGGAGGCAGCAGUCGGGAAUUUUGGGCAAUGGGCGAAAGCCUGACCCAGCAACGCCGCGUGAAGGAUGAAGUAUUUCGGUAUGUAAACUUCGAAAGAAUGGGAAGAAUCAAUGACGGUACC